rnacentral:rRNA from 1 species
CUACGGGGGGCUGCAGUGGGGAAUAUUGGACAAUGGGGGAAACCCUGAUCCAGCAAUGCCGCGUGUGUGAAGAAGGCCUGCGGGUUGUAAAGCACUUUCGGUUGGGAGGACUGCUUCUAGCACUAAUAUUGUUGGAAGUUGACGUUACCUUCAGAAGAAGCACCGGCUAACUCCGUGCCAGCAGCCGCGGUAAUACGGAGGGUGCAAGCGUUAAUCGGAAUUACUGGGCGUAAAGCGCGCGCAGGCGGCUAGAUCAGUCGGGUGUGAAAGCCCCGGGCUUAACCUGGGAACUGCAUCCGAUACUGUCUAGCUUGAGUACAGGAGAGGAGAGUGGAAUUCCACAUGUAGCGGUGAAAUGCGUAGAGAUGUGGAGGAACACCAAUGGCGAAGGCAGGUCUCUGGCCUGAUACUGGCACUGGGGUGCGACAGCGUGUGGAGCAAACAGGAUUAGAUACCCCGGUAGUC